UGAACUUCUUCGUUCUACCUUUGGCGGC
rnacentral:piRNA from 1 species